GACGAACGCUGGCGGCGUGCUUAACACAUGCAAGUCGAACGGAAAGGCCCUGCUUUUGUGGGGUGCUCGAGUGGCGAACGGGUGAGUAACACGUGAGUAACCUGCCCUUGACUUUGGGAUAACUUCAGGAAACUGGGGCUAAUACCGGAUAGGAGCUCCUGCUGCAUGGUGGGGGUUGGAAAGUUUCGGCGGUUGGGGGUGGACUCGCGGCUUAUCAGCUUGUUGGUGGGGUAGUGGCUUACCAAGGCUUUGACGGGUAGCCGGCCUGAGAGGGUGACCGGCCUCAUUGGGACUGAGAUACGGCCCAGACUCCUACGGGAGGCAGCAGUGGGGAAUAUUGCACAAUGGGCGGAAGCCUGAUGCAGCAACGCCGCGUGCGGGAUGACGGCCUUCGGGUUGUAAACCGCUUUCGCCUGUGACGAAGCGUGAGUGACGGUAAUGGGUAAAGAAGCACCGGCUAACUACGUG
rnacentral:rRNA from 1 species